rnacentral:rRNA from 1 species
UUUUUAUGAGAGUUUGAUCCUGGCUCAGGACGAACGCUGGCGGCGUGCCUAAUACAUGCAAGUCGAACGCUUCUUUUUCCACCGGAGCUUGCUCCACCGGAAAAAGAGGAGUGGCGAACGGGUGAGUAACACGUGGGUAACCUGCCCAUCAGAAGGGGAUAACACUUGGAAACAGGUGCUAAUACCGUAUAACAAUCGAAACCGCAUGGUUUUGAUUUGAAAGGCGCUUUCGGGUGUCGCUGAUGGAUGGACCCGCGGUGCAUUAGCUAGUUGGUGAGGUAACGGCUCACCAAGGCCACGAUGCAUAGCCGACCUGAGAGGGUGAUCGGCCACAUUGGGACUGAGACACGGCCCAAACUCCUACGGGAGGCAGCAGUAGGGAAUCUUCGGCAAUGGACGAAAGUCUGACCGAGCAACGCCGCGUGAGUGAAGAAGGUUUUCGGAUCGUAAAACUCUGUUGUUAGAGAAGAACAAGGAUGAGAGUAACUGUUCAUCCCUUGACGGUAUCUAACCAGAAAGCCACGGCUAACUACGUGCCAGCAGCCGCGGUAAUACGUAGGUGGCAAGCGUUGUCCGGAUUUAUUGGGCGUAAAGCGAGCGCAAGCGGUUUCUUAAGUCUGAUGUGAAAGCCCCCGGCUCAACCGGGGAGGGUCAUUGGAAACUGGGAGACUUGAGUGCAGAAGAGGAGAGUGGAAUUCCAUGUGUAGCGGUGAAAUGCGUAGAUAUAUGGAGGAACACCAGUGGCGAAGGCGGCUCUCUGGUCUGUAACUGACGCUGAGGCUCGAAAGCGUGGGGAGCAAACAGGAUUAGAUACCCUGGUAGUCCACGCCGUAAACGAUGAGUGCUAAGUGUUGGAGGGUUUCCGCCCUUCAGUGCUGCAGCUAACGCAUUAAGCACUCCGCCUGGGGAGUACGACCGCAAGGUUGAAACUCAAAGGAAUUGACGGGGGCCCGCACAAGCGGUGGAGCAUGUGGUUUAAUUCGAAGCAACGCGAAGAACCUUACCAGGUCUUGACAUCCUUUGACCACUCUAGAGAUAGAGCUUCCCCUUCGGGGGCAAAGUGACAGGUGGUGCAUGGUUGUCGUCAGCUCGUGUCGUGAGAUGUUGGGUUAAGUCCCGCAACGAGCGCAACCCUUAUUGUUAGUUGCCAUCAUUCAGUUGGGCACUCUAGCAAGACUGCCGGUGACAAACCGGAGGAAGGUGGGGAUGACGUCAAAUCAUCAUGCCCCUUAUGACCUGGGCUACACACGUGCUACAAUGGGAAGUACAACGAGUCGCGAAGUCGCGAGGCUAAGCUAAUCUCUUAAAGCUUCUCUCAGUUCGGAUUGCAGGCUGCAACUCGCCUGCAUGAAGCCGGAAUCGCUAGUAAUCGCGGAUCAGCACGCCGCGGUGAAUACGUUCCCGGGCCUUGUACACACCGCCCGUCACACCACGAGAGUUUGUAACACCCGAAGUCGGUGAGGUAACCNUUUUGGAGCCAGCCGCCUAAGGUGGGAUAGAUGAUUGGGGUGAAGUCGUAACAAGGUAGCCGUAUCGGAAGGUGCGGCUGGAUCACCUCCUUUCUAAGGAA